GUGAAAGGGAUAUAAGUUGAUUAUCGGCAAAAUAUUUUUUAAAAUGCGUCUGAUUUAUUCAUUUAUGUGUUCAUUUUUAUUCCCAGGAAUUUAGCGAACAGUGUCAUUAGGUUUUCAUGCUUGAACAGUAGGUGUUUUUUACUGAAAUCAUUUGUUGAAAGACAGAUAUUUUUUAACACAUGACGUAAUACUUGUUUUUAUCAUGGCGAGAUUUUCCACGACAACCGUUACAAAUUAUGUUACUUACUACUUCUUUCCG
rnacentral:lncRNA from 1 species